rnacentral:rRNA from 1 species
ACAAGCGGUGGAUGAUGUGGUUUAAUUCGAUGCAACGCGAAAAACCUUACCCACCUUUGACAUGUACGGAAGUUACCAGAGAUGGUUUCGUGCUCGAAAGAGAACCGUAACACAGGUGCUGCAUGGCUGUCGUCAGCUCGUGUCGUGAGAUGUUGGGUUAAGUCCCGCAACGAGCGCAACCCUUGUCAUUAGUUGCUACAUUUAGUUGGGCACUCUAAUGAGACUGCCGGUGAUAAACCGGAGGAAGGUGGGGAUGACGUCAAGUCCUCAUGGCCCUUAUAGGUGGGGCUACACACGUCAUACAAUGGCUGGUACAGAGGGUUGCCAACCCGCGAGGGGGAGCUAAUCCCAUAAAGCCAGUCGUAGUCCGGAUCGCAGUCUGCAACUCGACUGCGUGAAGUCGGAAUCGCUAGUAAUCGCGGAUCAGAAUGUCGCGGUGAAUACGUUCCCGGGUCUUGUACACACCGCCCGUCACACCAUGGGAGCGGGUUCUGCCAGAAGUAGUUAGCCUAACCGCAAGGAGGGCGAUUACCACGGCAGGGUUCGUGACUGGGGUGAAGUCGUAACAAGGUAGCCGUAUCGGAAGGUGCGGCUGGAUCACCUCCUU